rnacentral:rRNA from 1 species
UACGGGGGGGGCAAGCGUUGUUCGGAAUUACUGGGCGUAAAGGGCUCGUAGGUGGCCAACUAAGUCAGACGUGAAAUCCCUCGGCUUAACCGGGGAACUGCGUCUGAUACUGGAUGGCUUGAGUUCGGGAGAGGGAUGCGGAAUUCCAGGUGUAGCGGUGAAAUGCGUAGAUAUUGGGAGGAACACCGGUGGCGAAGGCGGGUUGCUAGGCUGACACUGACGCUGAGUGCGCGAAAGCCAGGGGAGCAAACGGG